rnacentral:rRNA from 1 species
AUUGAACGCUGGCGGCAUGCCUUACACAUGCAAGUCGAACGGCAGCGGGGGAGAAGCUUGCUUUUCCUGCCGGCGAGUGGCGAACGGGUGAGUAAUACAUCGGAACGUGCCCUGUAGUGGGGGAUAACUAGUCGAAAGAUUAGCUAAUACCGCAUACGACCUGAGGGUGAAAGUGGGGGACCGCAAGGCCUCAUGCUAUAGGAGCGGCCGAUGUCUGAUUAGCUAGUUGGUGGGGUAAAGGCCUACCAAGGCGACGGUCAGUAGCUGGUCUGGGAGGACGAUCCGCCACACUGGGACUGAGACACGGCCCAGACUCCUACGGGAGGCAGGAGUGGGGAAUUUUGGACAAUGGGCGAAAGCCUGAUUCAGCAAUGCCGCGUGUGUGAAGAAGGCCUUCGGGUUGUAAAGCACUUUUGUCCGGAAAGAAAUGGCUCUGGUUAAUACCUGGGGUCGAUGACGGUACCGGAAGAAUAAGGACCGGCUAACUACGUGCCAGCCGCCGCCGUAACAC